CCUCUCUAAAUGUCUUGUAGAAUUCAGCAGUGAAGCCAUCAGGUCCCAGGCUUUUCUUAGUUGAUUUAUUUUACCAGUCCAUAAGAAACAAGGAUGGGGCUCACCAUGUCACUGGAUCGAAAUGAUAUCGCACAAGUUGUUUAUUGCUAUGUUUCAUUUUCUCAGAAGAGAAUUCCAUCCUUCUCCUUGGGAUGCCGCAAUUGGAGGGUGUGGACCCCGAAAUCCUGGAGGCCUUUGGUAGCUCUUGCACCUUAGGGUUCUGCACCGCGAGCGCGCGAAGCCCACACCUCCACCCUGCCUCCUGAAGCGGAGCGGCUGCUCUCUAUCCUGGCUCUGCAGACCUCCAUUCAAUAGGAAGCCUUGAGGCCAGCAGCUGCCCGCUAAGGCAGGUGACUACCAAGUGACAUUUGACGUUAUUCAUCCAUUUCUCUCUCUACACAGAGAUGGGGGAAGGGAGGCGGUGGAGCGGAGGGCGUGGAGAAGACUCAGGGCGGACGGGAAGCAGCAGUGCAGUGCGCCCCGGAAUCGCACCUCUCUGCAGCCCAGCGGCUGCCCAGGCUGCCCCCACCAGCCAGGCGCCUCGUCGCAAUUCCCCAGCUGUCUGCUCGCUACCUGCCUGGCUCGCCCGCUCAGAGCUGCUCCCCUGGGCCUCUCUCCAGCUCGGCAGUGGGCUGCGUCAGCAUCACGCCACACCGUCUCCGUUGGCCCGGCGAUCAACGCCUGACGGCCGGCCCUCUCUCCCCUCUCCGCUGGGGCCAAUGGGAGUCCGGGGAAGGUUUUGGUUACAAAUGAAAAUAAAAUAAAUAAGUCAUACUCCCGCACUCAGGAG
rnacentral:lncRNA from 1 species